UCUUGUUUCAUGCAACUUGUUUCUAUAAGGUUGUGCAACUUGUUUCUAAAGGAUCAUAGUACUUUGGCUAAUACCGUUAUCCUCAGUCAUAGUUGUAUAAAGUUCGAGGGACAUGAGGGCGUUGGGGUACCUUAGGCUUAGGUUCAAGGGACCUUUCAGGAUUGAGGCACAUGUUUAUAUAAAAUUUGCAUAAAAGAAUAGUUAAUUUUCAUUCUAUGCAUAAGCAGCAAAUAUUGAAUCCAAGGCUGAUAAAAAAAGAUCAUCAAUGAUUCCUUUAGAUAUAGUGACAUUAACAAUUUCUAGCUUCUUGCUGGUCAAAAGAAAAAGAAAAAUUCUCUAUCUUCAUCCUUCAAGCUCUAUCAGCGCACCAUAGUUAAUUUAACACUAAAAGAAGAUUACUACUGUAUUGGGCUUAUUUGUUUUGCAAAAAACAUAUAUGAGAAAACAUUUUUUGAUAAAAGCAUUUUGAGAAAAUAACUUAUUUUCCAUUGUUUGGUUGCAAUCCUUGAAUUAGUUGGAUUUUUUCAACUUUUGGAAUGUGCCCAACUAUAAGAUUAUUUAAACCUCUUAGAACCUCAUUGUUUUCUGUGUAAUAUUAAAGUAUGGGACAAAGACAAAAAGAAAAGGAUAAAUUAUGGUAGUCAAUGGUAGUUAGUUGAUCAACUGAUAUGUAUUUACAUGGCUAUUUUUAAUGUUAUAGGUUACUUUUCUUUUAGGCCUUGUUUGGUACAAAUGUGUCUUGUUUGGUCCAAAUCUGUCACUUCCUGAGAAGUCACUUCCCAGGACCUAACUUAAUUAGGUUGGGGUAGUUCCCAGGACCUAACUUAACUAGGUUGGGGUAGGUAAGUUAUUUCCCCCCACCAAGGGAGGAAAAAAACUUUUCAUUAACUGCAAUACGAAAAGUGGAAAUAGUGAUGGGAAAAAACUAGUUGGAUAAAUAAGAAGUGGAAACUUCACGGAGGUUGAGUAGUCAAAGGCCUCUCUCUCCCAUAGCCAAUACAUUCUUUUUGCAAGUUUUUGAUUUAGGAAUGGUCAUAUUGACCUAUCAAUUGAGACUUCAUUAUUAUAUCUUUUCUCUGUAAUGUUCCUCCACUGCGCCCUUGGAUGUUGCCUCAUCAAUACUUUUUUUUUACUUUACAUUAAGCAUAGAAUUGUGAAAAUCAGUUCACGUGCAUGUAAAGUGUUAAAAGUUCAGCUUGCCUUCCCAACAUUGUUGAAUUUAACAUAUGUCAUAAUUACCUAGGCAACUACUAGAAGAGUUUUUCAAUUUCAUUAUUUUGUUGUGCAUGGUGAAAACGGGGACAUAGACGAUGACAUUAUUGAGUGUCAUAUGAUUCAUAGCCUUCUCAAAUUGAAUCUAACUGAAGCAAAAGUUCUUCAGUAUUUUGUCUUACCUUGAUGCACUCUGUGACCACAAUAGUGUUUUAAUUUCAUCUAUAUAUAUAGUUUAGUAAGUGGAAGUUCUAGCAUAUGAUUUACUUAUUUGUAGUUUCUGGUUACCAUCCUAAAUGAAGUUUGACAAAUAUAUUUGUGUAUUAGUAUUCCCUCUUGAAUCUAGCUAACUAAUUGCUUAUUGUUUUGAUUGUUAUUUUAACCUAUUAAUGAUUCUUUUCAAGUACUUGAUUUGUGGAUAAAGUAUAAAGCAUAGUUCAAACUUUUCCAAUGAAUAUUAAAUCAGUGUGUUUACUAUGUGCUUAUCUUUCCUAAUUAAUUUAUUCUUUCUAAUUGGAUAUUGGAUUAUUCUACCUAUUAACCGUGAAUAGGUUAUGGCGGGCUCAUCUGCUGAUUCUGCUGGGAUAAGUCCCAAUGAUGUUAUAGUUCAAUUUGGAGGAAAAAC